rnacentral:piRNA from 1 species
UGAUGCUUGCAAAACAACAAUGUGAUGAGU